rnacentral:rRNA from 1 species
AGGGUUUGAUCAUGGCUCAGGAUGAACGCUAGCUACAGGCUUAACACAUGCAAGUCGAGGGGAAACGGCAUUAAGUGUUUGCACUCUUUGGACGUCGACCGGCGCACGGGUGAGUAACGCGUAUCCAACCUUCCCGUUACUGUGGGAUAACCUGCCGAAAGGCAGACUAAUACCGCAUAGUCUUCGAUGACGGCAUCAGAUUUGAAGUAAAGAUUUAUCGGUAAUGGAUGGGGAUGCGUCUGAUUAGCUUGUUGGCGGGGUAACGGCCCACCAAGGCGACGAUCAGUAGGGGUUCUGAGAGGAAGGUCCCCCACAUUGGAACUGAGACACGGUCCAA